CGUCUGGUCCAUGUCGAUGAAGAUGCUGACGGCCUUGCCGAUGCGCGGCCUCUCCUUGAGCUUCUCCAGGGUGUUGCGGACGUGCGCCACGGCGCCCCAGCACCGCAGCGUGUUGGCCACCUCGUCCAGCCGCAGCAGGUACUCCUCCUCGCUCAGCGGGAACGACCUCUGCUCCCUGUACUUCCACAUCACAUUCAUCGCAAGCAGAUUCCUCCCCAUGAACUCCUGCAUUCUUCAUAUUGUUUAUUGCUGCGGUGUACCAGACAAUUCCAUCAAAAGCUAACAAUUUCAUUCACUCACCUUCUUUAUCAACGUCACAUCGUAGGAUCUUCCGUACUUCUUCCUGAUGAGGUUUGCAAGGUCCAACCCGUUGAACUUGUCGUCCUCGUCAGGCCCGACCAGGCGCUCCAGAUCCUCUCGGGAGCUGCUGCUGCUGCUGCUGCUUUGCGGCACCUCAUUGUCACC
rnacentral:lncRNA from 1 species